rnacentral:rRNA from 1 species
GACGAACGCUGGCGGCGUGCUUAACACAUGCAAGUCGAGCGGUAAGGCCCUUUCGGGGGUACACGAGCGGCGAACGGGUGAGUAACACGUGGGUGACCUGCCCUCAGCUCUGGGAUAAGCCUGGGAAACUGGGUCUAAUACUGGAUAUGACUCCACGGUGCAUGUCGUGGGGUGGAAAGCCUUGUGCGGCUGAGGAUGGGCCCGCGGCCUAUCAGCUUGUUGGUGGGGUGANGGCCUACCAAGGCGACGACGGGUAGCCGGCCUGAGAGGGCGGCCGGCCACACUGGGACUGAGACACGGCCCAGACUCCUACGGGAGGCAGCAGUGGGGAAUAUUGCGCAAUGGGCGAAAGCCUGACGCAGCGACGCCGCGUGAGGGACGAAGGCC